GGACGAGGCGGGGCCUGAUGCUAAGGGCGCCGCCGCGAGCCUGAGGAGCACACCGGCAGAGACCCGGCCUGAGGAACCUGCAUUCAUGUGGAGGAGGAAAAAGAAAUCGAUAAUAGCAGGUGAUGAUAAGAGAUAUGAAGACAACUGAACAUGAGAAUGUUUUGGAUGCCGUCUGCACUAGUCCAAAAAGGCCUCCCCCUCUGUAGGUAGCAUGGACACAAAAGAGUGAGAAAGAGAAGGCCCACCAAGGAGAACAACAGAUGCGAAAGCCCGAAAGGAAGAAGAGGCUUAAUCGCCGGCAGAAUGAAUCCAACGCCGGCAUGGAUAAAAUGCCAGGAAGGAAGGAGAGAUCCAAACAAGGUCACAUCCUACAGGACAGAACAAUGGUGACAAGUGUCAGCGUUGACACUGAGAGACAGGGCCUCUUAUCCAUUAACCUGCUCCAAGUCCUAAGGUAGUGGCUUUUUUUUGUCCCGAUUGCACAAAUGAGAAAACGGAAGUUUCUGCAAAGAGAAGCAAGUCAUCCAGGCUGUGCAGCAAGGACGCAAAUCAAAAGUGGCCUGCCACCCCGACUGCUCGUUCUGCACUGUCACGUGUUCCUCCUCUGCGUCCUGGCUUUCCUAUCAUUUGUGUAUUCCUUUUGGUUUCCCAGGUCAGAGCUCCACAAGGACAGGGAUUUUGUUCCAUUUUCUGCUGUGUCUGUGCACAUAACUCAGAGUCCGGUACCCAAACGAGCAGCAGAUGUAGUCAGAGCACCUGCCAGGACCAGAGGAACCAGAUGAAGUCUCAGAGCAGGCUCCAUCUGAAGUACGUGAGCCCAGGCAGAAUUCCUCAGAACCCUCAGUGAGAGGGAACCAGU